GUCUCUGUAGUAUAUCCAUUACCCUGGCCUUGUAAACCAGAAAAGGGGACGGCACACUCCCCCAAAGA
rnacentral:tRNA from 1 species